AUGGCCGUGGGUUGCAGGUUUCCGGUGCGAGCGGAGUUCGCGGACAGCCUGGAACAUCCAGAUCCGGUGGCUCUUAAGGUGCUCCCGCGACGUGAUGCCACCCCUGCUACGCCGGCGGAUUCGAAUGCUGGCUCCGGGUGCAGGCAGCACGUUGGUUGCGCUAGCCCUGGGAGGACGCAGGGUGAAAAUCGCUGUCGACGGCCGGGCUCUCCGACGAGGUCUGCGCAGUCCACCCACAGGGUAAAUCCAGAGGCGCCGGGAUGGACCAAAAGCAACUGUUACAAUGAAGAAAAAGCCAUCACUGGUUUGUCACAGCAGGUGGGUGCAGGAGAUGAUGAUGAUGCGCUGCUAAUAUUGGACUUGCCAGGGUAUUCUCUUUUCAGCAAAGGGUCAUUUUUGUGGCAGCCCAGAGAUAGGAAAACUGUGUCUAGUCAAGACCUGCUUAGCAACAAAGAGAGAAUCAAAUUCAUCGUAAAUAAGGGGCUGCCAUUGACUUGUCCUUCAUCGCAAAGUUCAGGAGAAUCUGAAUGUAUGUUCAGAACUAUGAAAUCUGGUGUUCAAGCACAUGUUCAGGAUGUGAAAUCUGAAACCUGA
rnacentral:rRNA from 1 species